AGAAAAAUGGACAUUCUUGGCCUGGUGGAGAUAAACAAAUGGAUUUUAACCGCCAUACUCCUCUGUGUGACCGUGCUCUUCUUCUAGCUUCAACGAGCUUUGUGGCUGCUGUUAAUGGCUGCAAGCUUUAUCCGUGUGCUUUAGGAAAAAAGAUAUUCGCGAUGGAAGCACAGUGUAUUCCGGAAGUAUGGAAUCCCCGGUCCCCCGCCCACACCGUUCUUUGGGGUCUCCCUGAGAUAUAAUAGAGAGGGACUGGCUCUGACAGACCAAGACCUUGCAAAGACGUAUGGAGACGUGGUUGGUGUUUACAUGGGACACUCACCGUUGCUGUUGGUUUCGAACCCUGAAACCAUCAAGGAAAUCAUGGUCAAAGAUUUCUCUAGAACCCCAAAUCGACCCAAAACAUUUGUUCCCAGGAACGAAAUGGCGCACACUCUUAUAAAUACAGACGGAGAUCAUUGGCGUUUCCUUAGAAACACGCUGCUACCAACAUUUUCUUCCGGCAAGAUGAGGAUGAUGGAACCCUUGUUUAAAGCAAAAUAUGAACAACUUUUGGCCAAUCUGAAAGAAAGAUCCAAGACUGGGGAGCCAGUAGAAUUCAAAGAGGUUUUCGGUGCCUACACCUUGGACGUCAUUGCCUCCACUGGCUUUGGUGUGGACAUCGACUCCCAGAAAAAUCCGGACAGCGAGUUCGUGAAAAAUGCCCAGAAAUUCUUCAACAUUACCUUCAACCCACUUUUAUUAUUGAUAUUGAUGUUUCCCAAAAUAGACGGACUAUUAAACUUUCUGGACAUCUCUCCUUUGAAUCGCAGGAGCAUAAUGGCAUUCUUCCGAAGCGUGGCCAGUCAGGCGGUCACUAUCCGAAAAGAGGAUAGUUCGUCAAGAAAAGACCUGCUGCAAUUAAUGUUGAAUGCUCACCAUGAUACUGACCUUAAUGAAGACCAGAAAGCUCAGAAAUACGAGGAAGGCACCGACAAGUGGAAACAGAGGGGUUUAACAAUGGACGAGGUCCUUGGUCACGCCAUUCUGUUUAUGUUGGUUGGAUACGAUACAACGUCAAAUGCUUUGACGUUCACAGCGUAUAACCUGGCUACAAAUCCUGAAUGUCAGGAGAAACUGAUCGACGAAAUUGACACUGUUCUUGGCAAGGAAUGCCCCAAUUAUGACAACGUCCAGAAACUGGAUUACCUGGAGAGAGUGUUCUGUGAAUCUCUGAGGCUCUAUCCAUCGGCCGCCAGAACCAACCGCCUUGCAGAGAACGAUAUUGUUAUCGAAGGAUACACUAUUCCAAAAGGGACAGACAUUUCUUUCCCAAUCUACAGUAUCCACAGGGAUCCACGCUUCUGGGAAAAUCCGACCAAGUUUGACCCUGAGAGGUUCACACCAGAAAACAAGGCUAAACGACACCCGUACGCAUUUUUGCCCUUCGGACACGGUCCCCGCAACUGUAUAGGCAUGCGCCUGGCCCAAGUUGAGAUGAAGUUCGCCAUGGUUUACAUCCUUCAACAUUUUCGAUUUAAGACUUGCUCAGAAACAGAGAUUCCACUGAAAAUAUCUAAAGCCGGACUCUUGAAGCCAGAAAAUGGUGUUAAGCUGCUCUUAGAACCACGCACCUGAAAGGCGAAAACAGACUUCGUCUAAAAUCAGAAAAACGCAAGAAUCGUGUUGUUUGUGAAUACUUUAGCAAAUGCGAAGCAUAGAGAAACUCCAUAAAAAGACCAAUUAGAAUAGACAUCUAUAUAUUGGCACGACGAUAUUCGUAGCUUACAUAAUACAGGUACCUCUAUAUUUUGUACGAUUAGCAGGUAGCAUGUAAUAUUGACAGUUAUUUUUAUACUUUUAUGUACAGUAUAAAUAAAUAUGACAUUUCCAUCUAU
rnacentral:misc_RNA from 1 species